AAAAACGGAGGAAAAGAAACUAACAAGGAUUCCCCUAGUAACGGCGAGUGAAGCGGGAAGAGCUCAAAUUUGAAAUCUGGUAGCCUUCGGUUGCCCGAGUUGUAAUCUAGAGAAAUGUUUUCCGUGCCGGCCCAUGUACAAGUCCCUUGGAACAGGGCGUCAUAGAGGGUGAGAAUCCCGUCCUUGACAUGGACCCCCGGUGCUUUGUGAUACAUUUUCAACGAGUCGAGUUGUUUGGGAAUGCAGCUCAAAAUGGGUGGUGAAUUCCAUCUAAAGCUAAAUAUUGGCGAGAGACCGAUAGCGAACAAGUACCGUGAGGGAAAGAUGAAAAGCACUUUGGAAAGAGAGUUAAACAGUACGUGAAAUUGUUGAAAGGGAAACGAUUGAAGUCAGUCAUGCUCUUUGGUAUUUAUAUCAUUGAGUGGGGUCAACAUCAGUUUUGAUCGAUGGAUAAAGGCACUAGGAAUGUAGCACUCUCGGGUGAACUUAUAGCCUAGCGUCAUAUACAUUGAUUGGGACUGAGGAACGCAGCAUGCCUUUAUGGCCGGGAUUCGUCCACGUACAUGCUUAGGAUGUUGACAUAAUGGCUUUAAACGACCCGUCUUGAA
rnacentral:rRNA from 1 species